rnacentral:rRNA from 1 species
GUAGGUGGCAAGCGUUGUCCGGAAUUAUUGGGCGUAAAGCGCGCGCAGGCGGUUCUUUAAGUCUGAUGUGAAAGCCCACGGCUCAACCGUGGAGGGUCAUUGGAAACUGGAGAACUUGAGUGCAGAAGAGGAAAGCGGAAUUCCACGUGUAGCGGUGAAAUGCGUAGAGAUGUGGAGGAACACCAGUGGCGAAGGCGGCUUUCUGGUCUGUAACUGACGCUGAGGCGCGAAAGCGUGGGGAGCAAACAGGAUUAGAUACCCUGGUGGUCCACGCCGUAAACGAUGAGUGCUAAGUGUUAGGGGGUUUUCCGCCCCCCUUAGUGCUGCAGCUAACGCAUUAAGCACUCCGCCUGGGAGUACGGCCGCAAGGCUG